AAGUGACAUGUCAGAGCUGCGAUUGCCUUCAGUAGUCCAGUUUUAAGUCCAAAGCCUUAAUCGUUCUUUCUGGAUACCCAGUACCUUAUAAUGCAGAAACCAAACCUUGGUAGGAAAACGAUAAGGUCCCCAGGAAGACAAGA
rnacentral:lncRNA from 1 species